GAUAAAUGAACUUUCGCCUAAAUGCAUUGUGGGUUUAUUUUAACAUGUUCGCUAUUUGCGUUUUGAAUUGUUUGAUUUAAACUCUCCCAGAUGUUCGUGGAUUUUGAUGAUAUGGAUUUUAGAUGACUUCGAGACAUGUACAGUUUUGCAGUUUCUUCAUAUCACAUACAUCUCCAGCUCCUACAACAACAUUCAGUGUCCAGCAGCUCUUUAUGAUGCUCUCUCUCUCUCUCUCUCUCUCUCUCUUUCUCUCUCACUCUCUCUCUCUCUCUCUCUCUCUCUCUCUCUCUCUCUCUCUCAUUUUCCUUUCCUAUUUUUCUGAACUGUAAUUCAUAAAUAAGUCACACAUAUUUUUCUUUCUUUCUCUUGUUCAUCAUGGCAUAUUUUCACAGCUCAGAAUCAGAUUUUGAUCAGUUCUUGUAUUAACAGGGAACUUGUACUCGAAGCUCAACUUGAAGAAGUUUCCAGUGAAGAUGAAGUCCUUCAAAGGUUCGACACAGCUGAAAAGGAAGACCAUGGGCCUGUCAAACCUUGUUUGUGGAGAGGGAUGAAUUUGACCAUCUUGUGUGUUUACGGAGAAGACCAAAAGCUGCUAAGGCAGAUAUUUCCAGAGGUACAAACAGAGCGGAUGGUUGCAUGAUGGCCUCUUUCAGGUUUGUCAACUGAAUGUCUACUAGUGUGGCUCAGCAAGUUCCUGUCAUGAUCAGCCCUCUCCAAGAAAGCUGAAGAGCAAAAACACAAAGAACAUCAGUCCUGUUGGGGAUGAGGAAUGAACAUGGCUCUAUUGUGCCCAAACAGAAAAGAGUGAAAAGUCCUAGAAUGAACAAAUCAUCAGGGCAUCAUUUCUGGAAUUUGGGCAGAAAAUGACUGAAUAUGAAAGACUGCAGUAGAAGGAAAGCUGGUACUGAGAACAUUUGUCUUCACUCCAGACUAAAGAGAAGCGGGUCUGAGGCCAGAGAUGGAGGAGUCAAUGGUCACCAAAUGCAGCGCUGCAGCCUGAAACUGUGAAGACUGAAUUCCCAAACAGCUGUGUGACUGCACAGAUGUUACGGCCAUAAAAGAAACUUCACAACUGAGAGCCCAUACCUCCAACAACCUUCAACAGGAAUCAAUGGACAUCUACGCAAGGUUUUUCUUUUGUUGAGGACCGUCAGAGACUCCAGCCACACGAGCCAUGGAUUGCUCUCAACAUCACCAUCAGACAGACAUUAUCACAGAACCAGCACCAGCAGACUGCAAAACAAGUUCCUUCAACAGGCAAUCAGACUGAACUGAACUCGUACCAGUAACACCACACACACACACACACACACACACACACACACAUACACAUACACACACCAGCAGCCUCAUACUGUGUGCACUGCACUCUAUCAGCUACACUGACUGGACUCUGACUCACUAUUAUUCUGCAACCUGAUAUUCUGUUUGCACUAAUUCAUACUGUACUGAAAGUGAAAGUGACGUGACAUACAGUCAAGUAUGGUGACCCAUACUCAGAAUUUGUGCUCUGCAUUUAACCCAUCCGAAGUGCACACACACAGAGCAGUGAACACACACACACUGUGAACACACACCCGGAGCAGUGGGCAGAGGUAUAUCUACAGUAUACAGUG